rnacentral:tRNA from 1 species
GGUCUCGUAGUGUAGCGGUUAACACGCCUGCCUGUCACGCAUGAGAUCGCGGGUUCGAUUCCCGUCGAGACCGCCA